UGGGGAUGACGUCAAGUUCAUCAUGGCCCUUAUGGGCAGGGCUACACGACGGUACUAACAAUGGUCGGUACAAAGGGCUGCCAACCCGCGAAGGGGGAGACCAAUCCCAAGAAACCGAUCGUAGUCCGGAUUGGAGUCUGCAACUCGACUCCAUGAAGUUGGAAUCGCUAGUAAUCGCGGAUCAGCAUGCCGCGGUGAAUACGUUCCCGGGCCUU
rnacentral:rRNA from 1 species